GUAGCAAGUGGGCAAGUAGUAAUAGUUUGGUGCCUACUCCCUCUGCCGUUACCCAGUUAGUCUCUCUCUGUCACACCGCAAUACGUCACUAAUUGGGCAAUGGGUUGCGAUUGAUUAGGCUACCUGACAUAUUACCCACAGGCUUAUGUAUAGGCACCCGAGGUCCUAAAGCCGGUAGCUCGUCAACACCACUGGUUCUGGGAUUGUGUAGCAGAGUCACGGGUGCUGCGUGAAAUAAACAGGAGGGCAGACGCUGGCAGAGCCGCUGUGUUUUGAUGUACGUGUGUGGGCGUGACGCCGUGUUGUGUGCAAAAAGUGUCUGCUGGGCACUGUUACCAUAGCAGAGAGGGCAGUUAUUCUCCAGAAGCCAUCAGCCACAGUGUAGUAGCCAUCUUGAAAAGCGUUAGACCCUCGCAGCUACCCAGGGCUGCUAGUUGCUGUUCUCUUUUAAUGUGUAUUUGAUGCAUUGGUGCCGCGUAUAGUUUGUUUACUUUUUUUUUGUUCCUCUAGCCUAUCGGCCUAAGUAGCUUGUGUAGGUACUACCUAUUUAAUGUGAGCCGCAGGCUAGAGUGGAUUUAUUUUGUUUGUUUUUCUUUUUUACUGUACUUCCAGUUCGUGUGUCUCCCUCCCCCCUCCACAGCUAAUAGCCUCGGUGCUUAUAAGGCCCAUUAGUACCUGACCUUGGAUAGCCGGUCUCUGUAGUUUUUCUCACUCUAGUAGCCUACAGAGAUUGCAGUGUGCAUGUAGUUUGAACUCUUAAUUGCCGUGUCACAUAUCACAGAGUGUCUUGGAUAUUGUAGUGCAUUUUCCCUGAAUCUAAAACACGUGUUAUUUAGUGCACACAAGACCACGUGUGUUAGAGACCUGGCCUGACAUCAGUUCUCCUAGUGGCCCAGUACCGAGGUUCCCCAGUCCCCCUAUUGUGUCUAUGUAUUUUUUUUGUAUUAUAUCUGGUGACCAACCAACGCUACUCGUGUCUACUAUUUAUUAAUAAAGACUAUUUUUAUACUUUCACCAAAAACUGGCAAUAGUGUUAUUGAGUUCCCCUUGCUCUGACAUAAUUUAGCCCACUUCAAGGGGUGGCGUAGUCAACAGUACCCGAGAGGGCGCUACACAUAUGAGGAAAAAAAAAAAAAAAGCCUGUGUCACUGUGAUCUGUCUCGUCAUCUGACGUCCUGCCUGCGUUUCUGCCGUUCUCAUUCUAUGCCUAUCAAUCUGUUUUGAUAUCCUUGUUUAUUUAUUUUAUCCGUAAAGUUGUUGAUGUUGUUCAAUUUCAUAUAUUAAUUUAAAGUCAUGCAAUUUCAAGUCAUCCAUUCUUCAACACUCGCUGCUACCUUAUCUUCAAACAGAAAGUAACGUUAAAUCUCCAUGGAAACAGCUCUCAAGGGUUUGGAUAAUAAUCGGAUUUAUUGCUUCCUUC
ensembl:lncRNA